rnacentral:rRNA from 1 species
UGUGUAGGCGGCUUUUUAAGUUUGGUGUGAAAUCUCCCGGCUCAACUGGGAGGGUGCGCCGAAUACUGAAGGGCUAGAGUGCGGGAGAGGAGAGUGGAAUUCCUGGUGUAGCGGUGAAAUGCGUAGAUAUCAGGAGGAACACCGGUGGUGUAGACGGCUCUCUGGACCGUAACUGACGCUGAGACACGAAAGCGUGGGUAGCAAACAGGAUUAGAUACCCUGGUAGUCCACGCCCUAAACGAUGCAUAUUUGGUGUGGGUCAUUCAGUUGAUCUGUGCCGGAGCUAACGCGUUAAAUAUGCCGCCUGGGGAGUACAGUCGCAAGGCUGAA